AAUAUAUUGAAAAAAAAUCAAGAGAGAGGGAGGAGGGAGGGACUUGUUACUAACACUGUUGCUUCUCCCAGAAACUGAUCCAGGUGCUGAGUUUGGAAUGUACCUAGCCCACUGAACCCAAAACAUAUAUAGAGAUUAAACACAGUAAUCAACAGCAAAUAUAUAUAUGAGUAAACCCUAAUUAACAAGAGAAAACAAGUUACAUUUUUUGCUGCUGUGCUGAAU
rnacentral:misc_RNA from 1 species